CCUACGGGAGGCAGCAGUGAGGAAUAUUGGUCAAUGGACGAGAGUCUGAACCAGCCAAGUAGCGUGAAGGAUGACUGCUCUAUGGGUUGUAAACUUCUUUUAUAUGGGAAUAAAAUGUUCCACGUGUGGGUUUUUGUAUGUACCAUAUGAAUAAGGAUCGGCUAACUCCGUGCCAGCAGCCGCGGUAAUACGGAGGAUGCGAGCGUUAUCCGGAUUUAUUGGGUUUAAAGGGAGCGUAGGUGGUUUGUUAAGUCAGUGGUGAAAGUUUGCGGCUCAACCGUAAAAUUGCAGUUGAAACUGGCAGUCUUGAGUACAGUAGAGGUAGGCGGAAUGCGUGGUGUAGCGGUGAAAUGCUUAGAUAUCACGAAGAACUCCGAUUGCGAAGGCAGCUCACUGGACUGCAACUGACACUGAGGCUCGAAAGUGUGGGUAUCAAACAGGAUUAGAUACCCCAGUAGUC
rnacentral:rRNA from 1 species